rnacentral:rRNA from 1 species
UACGUAGGGGCAAGCGUUGUCCGGAUUAUUGGGCGUAAAGAGCUCGUAGGUGGUUCGGUAAGUCGGAUGUGAAAUCUCCAGGCUCAACCUGGAGGGUCAUUCGAUACUGCCGUGACUAGAGUUCGGUAGGGGAGUGUGGAAUUCCUGGUGGAGCGGGUGAAAUGACGCAGAUAGUCAGGAGGAACACCCGUAGCGCAAAGGGCGGACCACUCUGGGCCGAUACUGACACUGAGAGCGAAGCGUGGGAGCGAACAG